AAUUCGAAGCAACGCGAAGAACCUUACCAGAUCUUGACAUCCAAUUGACCAUCUUUAAUCGAGAUUUUGCCUUCGGGUACAAUUGAGACAGGUGGUGCAUGGUUGUCGUCAGCUCGUGUCGUGAGAUGUUGGGUUAAGUCCCGCAACGAGCGCAACCCUUGUGUUUAGUUGCAAACAGGUCAAGCUGUGCACUCUAGACAGACUGCCGUGGACAACACGGAGGAAGGUGGGGAUGACGUCAAAUCAUCAUGCCCCUUAUGAUCUGGGCUACACACGUGCUACAAUGGCCGGUACAACGGGCAGCGAAGGAGCGAUCCGGAGCGAAUCCUAAAAAGCCGGUCCCAGUUCGGAUUGCAGGCUGAAACUCGCCUACAUGAAGUUGGAGUUGCUAGUAAUCGCGAAUCCAGAAUGUCCGCGGUGAAUAGUACGUUCCCGGGUCUU
rnacentral:rRNA from 1 species